rnacentral:lncRNA from 1 species
GUCUCCAUCUGCAGUGCUGUGAGAAGGGGCCAUAUGUGCUGUGUUCAUUCUUUAUCCACAUAACCUACCACAGUACCUGGCCGAAAGAGGGUGCUCAUUAAAAUAAUAUUUUUAAAUGAAUCAAUAACUGAGUAUAGCAAAGAACCUUACACAGUAAUACUGGGAGCUGAAGCUCAAUCAUUAUCCAGAUAAUAAUCUAAUAUUAGAUUGGAUUAAAGUGUAUUAGAUUAGCAGAGGAAAAUGGGGGUCAAUGGAAAGAAUUUAAUGUUUAAGACAGAGGAUAGUAGUUUUUUAAAAUCUAUUUUCCUCCAGCUAAUUUGUUUUAUGAAAUUAAUUUUAAUGGAAUUUUAAUUUUAUCAAAUAUUAUUUAUGAAAGUAACACAUGAAAGCAUUUGCUUUUAAGUGUUUUUAGCAACCCACUCCAGUACUCUUGCCUGGAAAAUCCCAUGGGUGGACGAGCCUGGUAGGCUACAGUCCAUGCGGUCGCUAAGAGUCGGACAUGACUGAGUGACUUCACUUUCACUUUUUCAUUUUCAUGCAUUGGAGAAGGAAAUGGCAACCCACUCCAGUGUUCUUGCCUGGAGAAUCCCAGGGACGGGGGACCUGGUGGGCUGCCGUCUCUGGGGUCGCACAGAGUCGGACACGACCGAAGCGACUUAGCAGCAGCAGCAGUAGCAGCAGUGGGGUCCUACGUCUAUUUUGUCCACCUUCCCCAAGCUCCAGAGCCUUGACUAUUUCCUGCUUGACUUGAAGAAGCUGACCUCUGCCAUAUUGUUGCCAAAGUAAGCAUCUACAACAGUAUUGACACCUGCUUAAUAGAUUAUUUUAAAAACUGCAAAGAAGAUCCUAGCAAAAAAUGAGAUUUAAGUGGUGAUUGUGGUAGAAUAUGUGUGUGGAAUUGUACUUCCUUAAUUUCUCUGGUCUCAAGUUGACCUUCUGAGAGGUUAUUAUCCACAUUUCUUCAUAAAGAUGCCCAAGAAAUCAGUGUAAGUCAACAAACUCAAGUAGAGGCUGGAGUGAGACAGGACUGGUUUUAAAUAUUAAUUCUUCAUCAAGUUGUAUGACUUCUCUAUUUUUCCUGUCUGUGAAGAUAGAGAUGAUGCCUUCAGUCUUCGGGAUGGCUUUGAAGAUUAUGGAUCUGUACUGACUAACAAGACAGCCAUUAGCACUCAUGGCUCAUCCAAACUGAGAUGUGCUAUAAGUUUAACUAAUGUAUUGGAUUUUAAAGACUUGGUGUCAUCGGUUUCAUGUGGAUUACACGUGGAAAUGAUACUACUUUGUAUAUACUGUGU